rnacentral:rRNA from 1 species
AGUGAACGCUGGCGGUAGGCCUAACACAUGCAAGUCGAACGGCAGCACAGUAAGAGCUUGCUCUUACGGGUGGCGAGUGGCGGACGGGUGAGGAAUACAUCGGAAUCUACUUUUUCGUGGGGGAUAACGUAGGGAAACUUACGCUAAUACCGCAUACGACCUACGGGUGAAAGCAGGGGAUCUUCGGACCUUUCGCGAUUGAAUGAGCCGAUGUCGGAUUAGCUAGUUGGCGGGGUAAAGGCCCACCAAGGCGACGAUCCGUAGCUGGUCUGAGAGGAUGAUCAGCCACACUGGAACUGAGACACGGUCCAGACUCCUACGGGAGGCAGCAGUGGGGAAUAUUGGACAAUGGGCGAAAGCCUGAUCCAGCCAUACCGCGUGGGUGAAGAAGGCCUUCGGGUUGUAAAGCCCUUUUGUUGGGAAAGAAAAGCAGCAGGUGAAUACCCCGCUGUUCUGACGGUACCCAAAGAAUAAGCACCGGCUAACUUCGUG